rnacentral:miRNA from 1 species
ACAAGCUUUCGGGAGAACCUCCCUUUCUCAAGUAUGAAAUGCUUCAGACUUGAGAAAGGGAGGUUCUCCCGAAAGCUUG